UCUAUUGUUCUUUCUCAUUUACAUGUAGUUAUUACCAAUUUUGACACAGUUGAUCAAUCAUCAGGAUAAAGAGGUUGUUAGUGAUGCUUGUUGGGCUCUGUCGUAUGUUACUGACGGAUCAACUGAGCGUAUACAGACUGUAGUUAACAGUGGGGUUGUGCCACGCUUGGUUGAGCUGACUGGAUGUGGGGAGACUAGUUUAGCAUCUCCGUCACUUCGUGCUAUUGGCAAUGUUGUAACAGGUAAUGAUGAGCAAACCCAACACGUCUUGAACUGUGGGGCUUUGCAGCACUU